rnacentral:lncRNA from 1 species
CCUUCACCAAUCCCUUCACCACCCCUGCCCAACCCCAGCUGCCUUCCACCAACCCAUUCCAGCCCAAUGGUAUAGCCUCAGGGCCUGGCUACGGGAUGGGCAGUGUUCAGCCUGGCCUUCUCCAGCCAGCGCCACCCUCCGGAGCCUUUGCCAGUACCUUCCCUGCCCCGGUGUUCCCCACACAGGCUGGACUGGUGGAACAGCAGAAUGGAACCCCACCCCCACCCGUCAUGUGCACUGGACUCCGUAGCUAUUCGUGCAGUUCUCGUAACACAGAAACUGCACGCUAAGUGCACAGGCAUGCUAUUCUACCCACUCAGGAGGCUGAGACAAGUGUGCAAGGCUUGCCGGGACUGUGCACAUAGUGAAAAGAGGGCAGGGGUGGAGUUUGCUGGGCAGGAGCAGCACCGGGUUCCAUUCCCAGUUCAAUAAAGAUGUAAGGAACCUGUGU